rnacentral:SRP_RNA from 1 species
GCUGGGUUUGGUGGCACAUGCCUGUAGUCCCAGCUACUCAGGAGGCUGAGGCAGGAGGAUCACUUGAGCCCAGGAGUUCAAGGCUGCAGUGAGCCAUGAAUGAGCCACUGCACUCCAGCCUGGGCAACAGAGUGAGACCCUGUGU